rnacentral:misc_RNA from 1 species
GGGGAAUUUUCCGCAAUGGGCGAAAGCCUGACGGAGCAAUACCGCGUGAGGGAGGAAGGCUCUUGGGUUGUAAACCUCUUUUCUCAGGGAAGAACGCAAUGACGGUACCUGAGGAAUAAGCAUCGGCUAACUCCGUGCCAGCAGCCGCGGUAAUACGGAGGAUGCAAGCGUUAUCCGGAAUGAUUGGGCGUAAAGCGUCCGCAGGUGGCAAUGUAAGUCUGCUGUUAAAGAGCAAAGCUCAACUUUGUAAAAGCAGUGGAAACUACAUAGCUAGAGUACGUUCGGGGCAGAGGGAAUUCCUGGUGUAGCGGUGAAAUGCGUAGAGAUCAGGAAGAACACCGGUGGCGAAAGCGCUCUGCUAGGCCUGUACUGACACUGAGGGACGAAAGCUAGGGGAGCGAAUGGGAUUAGAUACCCCAGUAGUCCUAGCCGUAAACGAUGGAUACUAGGCGUGGCUUGUAUCGACCCGAGCCGUGCCGGAGCUAACGCGUUAAGUAUCCCGCCUGGGGAGUACGCACGCAAGUGUGAAACUCAAAGGAAUUGACGGGGGCCCGCACAAGCGGUGGAGUAUGUGGUUUAAUUCGAUGCAACGCGAAGAACCUUACCAAGACUUGACAUGUCGCGAAUCUCCUUGAAAGGGGAGAGUGCCUUAGGGAGCGCGAACACAGGUGGUGCAUGGCUGUCGUCAGCUCGUGUCGUGAGAUGUUGGGUUAAGUCCCGCAACGAGCGCAACCCUCGUUUUUAGUUGCCAGCAUUAAGUUGGGCACUCUAGAGAGACUGCCGGUGACAAACCGGAGGAAGGUGGGGAUGACGUCAAGUCAGCAUGCCCCUUACGUCUUGGGCUACACACGUACUACAAUGCUACGGACAAAGGGCAGCAAGCUAGCGAUAGCAAGCAAAUCUCAUAAACCGUAGCUCAGUUCAGAUCGCAGGCUGCAACUCGCCUGCGUGAAGUCGGAAUCGCUAGUAAUUGCAGGUCAGCAUACUGCAGUGAAUUCGUUCCCGGGCCUUGUACACACCGCCCGUCACACCAUGGAAGCUGGCAACGCCCGAAGUCAUUACUCCAACCAUUCGUGGGGGAGGAUGCCUAAGGCAGUGCUGGUGACUGGGGUGAAGUCGUAACAAGGUAGCCGUACCGGAAGGUGUGGCUGGAUCACCUCCUUUUUAGGGAGACCUAAUCCACUCAAAAAUCGAAAGCACACAGUUAAUAGAUGAUGAGAUGGUCUACUCUAGGUCGGUCGCAGGAAUUGUUGAGGCUUUCAAACUAUAUUAGGUUCGAUUUGGGCUAUUAGCUCAGGUGGUUAGAGCGCACUCCUGAUAAGGGUGAGGUCCCUGGUUCGAGUCCAGGAUGGCCCACCUGAACAAGUAAAAAGAGCAAAGUAAAAAGUCAAAAGAAAGAACUAAGUUUUUUCAUUUGCCUUUUAACUUUUAACUUUUGCCUUGUGGAUGGGGGUUUAGCUCAGUUGGUAGAGCGCCUGCUUUGCAAGCAGGAUGUCAGCGGUUCGAGUCCGCUAACCUCCACAUUGGAAUAAAAAUUCAGCAAAAUGGCUUUUUGCCAGACUGCUGGGUUGAACCAGCCAGAACCUUGAAAACUGCAUAGUAACGCGAAAAAAAGCAGGCAGACACAGACAUUGACUAAUUGAAUGUGUUUGCAGUGGUGAAAACCAAAAGUAAUGUGGUCAAGCUAAUAAGGGCUGAUGGUGGAUACCUAGGCACACAGAG